rnacentral:rRNA from 1 species
GACGAACCGUGCGAACGUUGUUCGGAUUCACUGGGCUUAAAGGGCGCGUAGGCGGGUCAACAAGUCAGGGGUGAAAGCUUUCGGCUCAACCGGAAAAGGGCCGUUGAUACUAUUGAUCUGGAGUGAGGUAGGGGCAUGCGGAACAGUGGGUGGAGCGGUGAAAUGCGUAGAUAUCCACGGGAACGCCGGUGGCGAAAGCGGCGUGCUGGAUCGCGACUGACGCUGAGGCGCGAAAGCUAGGGGAGCAAACGGG